rnacentral:rRNA from 1 species
CUACGGGCUGCUCCAGUGGGGAAUAUUGGACAAUGGGCGAAAGCCUGAUCCAGCAAUGCCGCGUGAGUGAUGAAGGCCUUAGGGUUGUAAAGCUCUUUUACCCGGGAUGAUAAUGACAGUACCGGGAGAAUAAGCUCCGGCUAACUUCGUGCCAGCAGCCGCGGUAAUACGAGGGGAGCUAGCGUUAUUCGGAAUUACUGGGCGUAAAGCGCACGUAGGCGGCUUUGUAAGUUAGAGGUGAAAGCCCAGAGCUCAACUCUGGAAUAGCCUUUAAGACUGCAUCGCUUGAAUCCAGGAGAGGUGAGUGGAAUUCCGAGUGUAGAGGUGAAAUUCGUAGAUAUUCGGAAGAACACCAGUGGCGAAGGCGGCUCACUGGACUGGUAUUGACGCUGAGGUGCGAAAGCGUGGGGAGCAAACAGGAUUAGAUACCCGGGUAGUC